rnacentral:rRNA from 1 species
AGAGUUUGAUCCUGGCUCAGGACGAACGCUGGCGGCGCGCCUAACACAUGCAAGUCGAACGGAGCUUAAAGAGCUUGCUUUUUAAGCUUAGUGGCGAACGGGUGAGUAACGCGUGAGUAACCUGCCCUAGAGUGGGGGACAACAGUUGGAAACGACUGCUAAUACCGCAUAAGCCCACGGUACCGCAUGAUACUGAGGGAAAAGGAUUUAUUCGCUUUAGGAUGGACCCGCGUUGGAUUAGCUGGUUGGUGGGGUAACGGCCCACCAAGGCGACGAUCCAUAGCCGGCCUGAGAGGGUGAACGGCCACAUUGGGACUGAGACACGGCCCAG